CCCAAGUAGUCUUAGCAGAAAAUUAUGAAUGUCAUAGGAUGGAAACAACAAAUUUUUUUUUCUAUAAAUGAAAGUGUAAGCAUUCCACCUCGAGAGUAAUUUGGCAACAUUGGAACUGAAAUCAUUAAACCGUUUCUGAAACAAGUAGUGAAGUAUGUUGUUUAAUUUGAUGGUCCGCAAAAAACCUUACCACAAUUUGAAUAGAAAAAUUAUUUUUCAUACAAGCGCUGCACGGUUGUCUUCAGUUAAUGUCGUGAGAUCUUGGUUAGUUCCAUUAAAUUAACGUAAACCCUUACUUUAUUUUUACAUAAAGUAGUUCUCCGCUAUAUUGGAUAAAAUAACAGGGACUAAAACAAGUCAUCAUGGCCUUAAUAUUGU
rnacentral:rRNA from 1 species